UCUCUCUCUCUCUAAAAUAAGUGAACAUUAAAAAAGUUUUUUAAGUGAGAUCAGUAACUAGCUUUCUGCUGAAUGUGUCACACUUUAACUCACCUUUGACCUUGAAAAACAUCUUACAAUUUCCCAUUUAAAGAGAAAUUGACAGAAGUGGGGGAACACCACCAGGCCAGGAGCGAAGAACCCACGCUAGGGUUUGGUUCUCAUGGUUCCUUGCCAGGAGGCCUUAGAAAAUCACUUUCCCUCUCUGGGCCUCUGCUUCCUCAUCUCUGCCAUGAGCAGAAGUUCCUAGCCACCCUCCACCCAAGAGUCUAUGGUUUGUCCCGAAACCUUUUGCCCGAGCCCAGUAAAAAUCCCUAGCACUUAAAAGGGGAAAUUUAAUCGGAAUGUUUUCUGAUUCAUGUGCACUUAACCAAACAGAACCCUACUUUCUAAGAGCUCUUUGAUGUGUAAGCUGCCUUAAGGAGAUUUUUUUAAAGGGGCAUUUUAAAAGUUUUUUUUCUUAGAAACAGGAAAUCAGGUUUUGGCAAGAGGGAAAGAAAUCCGAACACACCAAGGUCUGGGGGUGGGAGCAGUGGGUUUGUUUUCAGUGGGCAGGAUCCGAGAGGGUAACCGAGAUUGGCAAGAGGCGGCCUUGGCCACCCUGGAGCAGCCUCCCCAGGGUCUGCCAACUCGAAAGGCUGUGUGAACGUCUGGGGCGGUGGCAAGGGAGCCGUCCCUGAAGCUUUUCCCAAGCCUCUCAGGACCAGCUGAAUGUUUACUUUUACCCUCAGCCCCACAUCGUACUUCUUUCUUGCGAUGUUUGGCAAUCCCAAUUGCCAAAUACCUUGAAUGAUCUCUAAGGAAAAUAUUUUUCGCUAGCUGAUCAGUUUUCUCUUCCAGAAAAAAAAAAGAAGGAGAAAAAAAAACAACAACCAGAUGAGCACACAGAUGAGCGUGUGUGGCGGAGAGAGAGUUCCAGUUACCCCUUUGAAAGACUCCUAAAAGCUCCGUACGCGGAGUGACUGUUGUCCUUUCAGUCCCUUGACAUUAGCCAAGGCCAUGAAGUUUGAUUUGGCCGAUAAAACAUGAGUAGAACUGACCUAAGUGAUUUCUAGGUGAAAAUGUUUCAGAACUAGAGAUCCGUUCUCCGUGGUUCGUCUUACGAAAGAAUGCAUCGAAAUGGAGGUGCCGUAAAAUUGAAGAAUCCUUGAAUGUGAACGGACCCAGAAGAAAGCUGUCCUACCUUUACCUGUAGCUACUCCCCCCUCACUGGAAAGAACAUGGAUUUGACAUCAGAAGACUUCCUCAACUUUCACGUUUAGAGAGAGGAGACAAACACCAUUCAUCAUACACGGUGGUUCUGCUUCGCUCAUAGGUCAACAUAAAAUAUUAUAUCAUUUCUUCCCUCCAACCCAACACUUCAUCCAUGUCGGAAUACUUGCGUUUGCCUCCAUGGGCCCUCCAUUUCUAGACAAGGAAUCUCUCCUGAAUUCUUUAUUUUAAACUUGAGUUUUUGAUAAAUUACAAUAUCAUAGGGGGCAUCACGGGGACCCAGUCAGAAAGCAGCCUGGAGUUUAUAUAUGUCAAGGAAGCCGAUCUUGGCUUGUCAACAGAGAAAAGUAAGCAUUCCUGAAAGUCAGAAAGAUGGAUGGAUUAAGAAUAUGAAUUAGGAAGAUAAAUGCUCUAAAACCAAGCUCUCUUACAUGUCUAAAGUGUUAAUAUUUAAUGAAAAGUGAACACUUUGUUGGCUUUUAUUUUCAAGACUUCAGUGGUGUUCUGAAAUUAGUCAUUUGUUUGAAAAUAUUUUCGAAGCCUCUACCAUGUGCCCGGGAAUAAUUUAGGCACUGGGGAUAAAGCAUUGAACAAAGUAGAAAAGAACCCUUCAAGAAUGGAUUUUUUUUGGGGGGGGGGAAGGAGAGCUAGAUAGUAAAUGUGUAGUAAUAAAUAAGCUACUUUCAGAUAGUGAUAAAUGUUUUGAAGGAAGGAAGCCCUUCAUGGCAGAGGGGAACGGUGCUAUGGGACCUAUUUGAUCUGAGUCAUGCAGAAGACCUCACUCAGGAGUGAUGGGUGUGCUGAGCACUGAAGACGAGAGCCAGUCAAGGGAAUGUCUUGGGGAAAAGGGGAAAAACAAGUGAAAGUCUUUGGAGUGUGAAAGGGCUUGAUGGGAGGAAGAGGGAGGCCAUUGUGACUGAGAGAAUGUAUGAGAUAAGGUGAGAAAGGUUACCCACGGGCCAGGAUAGGUAGAGUCUGUGGACCACAAUUAGGCGUUUGAAUAAAAUUCAAAUGGCAGUGUGAGGAGAUGAAACCACUGGGGGACUUUUCUUUCCUUUUUUUUUUUUAAAAAAAAAUUGAAGUAUAACUGCCAUAACAAUAAAUUGCAUGUAUGUAAAAAGUACACUUUUGUAAGUUUCGACAUAUGUGUGUAUCCAUCGGACCUUUUCACAAUCAAGGUAGCAGAUGCAUCCAUUACCACCCAAAGUUUCCUCAUCCUCUUUUGUAAUCCCUUCCUCUUGGCUCUCCUUUCUUUAAAUCUUUACCAUCCUAGCCUUCCACUGAUCUGCUUUCUGUCACUAUAAAUUUGUUUACUUUUACAGGAAUUCUACAUAAAGGCAAUUAUAUAGUAUACUCUUUUUAAAAAUCUACCUCAUUUUACCCAGCAUUGUUGUUCUGGGAUUCAUCCAUGUUUUAUCACUUUUUGUUCCCUUUUAUCACUGAGUAGUAUUCCGUUGUCUGGAUAGACCACAGCUUUUAUAUUCAAUGACCUCUUUGCUGAUAAACGUUUGGGAUUUUUCCAAUUUUCGGUUAUUGCAAAGAAAACUGCUAGGAACAUUCAUGUACAAGUCUUUGUAUGGAUUAAGUUUUGUUUUUCUCUCUCUUGUGUAAAUACCUAGGAGUAGCUUGGCUGAAUCAUAGGGUAGCUGUACGUUCAGCAUUUUAAGAAGCUACCAAAUUGUUUUCCAAAGUGGUUAUAGCAUUUACAUUUCCACCAUCAGUGUGUUAAAGUUUCAGUUUUUCAAAUCUUGGUCAACAUUUGGUACAGCCAGUCUUUUUCAUUUUACCCAUUCUAAUCAAUGUGUAGUCAUAUCUUACUGGUUUUUUUUUUUUCAUUUGCAUUUCCCCAUGGCUGUGAUGUCGAGAAUCUCUUCAUGUGCUUAUUUGACAUACAUCCAUUUUCUUAUGUGCAGUGCAUGUUCAAACCUUCUCUUGAUUAAAAAAAAUUUUUUUUAACGUUUAUUUAUUUUUGGGAGAGGGAGACAGACAGACAGAGCAUGAGU